GAUGAACGCUGGCGGCAUGCCUAACACAUGCAAGUCGAACGAGAUCUUCGGGUCUAGUGGCGCACGGGUGCGUAACGCGUGGGAAUCUGCCCUUUGGUUCGGAAUAACAGUUGGAAACGACUGCUAAUACCGGAUGAUGACGAAAGUCCAAAGAUUUAUCGCCAGAGGAUGAGCCCGCGUAGGAUUAGCUAGUUGGUGUGGUAAAGGCGCACCAAGGCGACGAUCCUUAGCUGGUCUGAGAGGAUGAUCAGCCACACUGGGACUGAGACACGGCCCAGACUCCUACGGGAGGCAGCAGUGGGGAAUAUUGGACAAUGGGCGAAAGCCUGAUCCAGCAAUGCCGCGUGAGUGAUGAAGGCCUUAGGGUUGUAAAGCUCUUUUACCCGGGAUGAUAACGACAGUACCGGGAGAAUAAGCUCCGGCUAACUCCGUGCCAGCCGCCGCAGUAA
rnacentral:rRNA from 1 species